GUGUAGUCGGGUAUGAGAACGAUUGCAAGCAAAAGCAGCUGAGGGACGCUGUCCAAGGAGUAGGCUCAGUAGCACGAACUGCAAAUACUUGAGAAGGGAAAAGUUCAGCCUUGUGCUGGAAAGUGGUUUAGCAUGCUGGAGCUGGUUUUCUGCUUGGUAGCCCUACAACUUUGGCCCAACUACUUGGCCUCUGGGACUCAGAUUCCUCCUCUUUAAAAUGGUGCUAAUAAUAGCACCCACCCUCUGUGAGGAGGAUGCUGUGAGGACAAAAUGAGAUCAUCCACAUAAGCCGUGAACCCUGUUCCUGGUAAGGAAAUGAAUAACAUGAAGUGAAGUCUUCAUCUCCAUUCCCAACAGUCCCCAUUCUACUUGCAGAAAGGUUGCUUACACUGAAAAUCAGUUUAUUUUCCCCUGGUGCAAAGAACAGUCGUUUCUCCAAAACUGAAGCUGGAAAUUAUCUGAAAUAUCAGGUCCUCCGGAAAAGGGACGUGAAGCCCCCUUUGUAAUUUCUGCAUUAGCGUGCUCUCCUGGCAAGCAGGAAACCUCAUCAGAGAAGUCAGCCAAGGAAAGUCUUUAAAUGGAAAUUGUGCAAACGAGGAGCAAAUGCAUUAAAAAGUUGCUGACGGGCAUGAAAUGCUUUGAUGUGAAGACGGAAAACUCCAAGCAGGAAGGAUUUUAACAUUUUGAAUCUGAUUGACUCUGUGGUUUCUCAGCACAGUUAUUCCAUGGGCUAAAAUAAAUGCAGAAAUGGUACUUUCAGACCACAGCUGCAGAGGGGAUCGUGGUGAAUUUCAAUGAAAAUCCAUUUGAAUCUUGAGGUUCAGAUCUUAAAAAAGCAAAGGACAUGAGAGAAGUAAUAUUGUUGCUUGAAAUUUCAUUGCUUAUAUCUAAAAGAAACUCCUAUUUUUAAGAGAAAUGUUGAAUCUUUGCAACGUGGUAGACGCUCCCACAAAACUUUCUCCUGAAAUAGGAGAUAAAUGUUGGAAAGAGGCAAUGUAUUGAGUAUGCUGAUAGAGGUGGAGUUCAGAGACAGGCAAGCAUACAUAAGAGUCAGGAUGUUUUUCAGUAUUAUCUUUACAAAUGAGUUUCUUACAGUGGUCAAUGACAAACCAAUUUCAUUCAAAGCUUGCUUCAAUAGGCAAUGGUUUGAUGCCAAUAUGUUAGCUAUUUACUUUGACCACCGUAUGCAUUAAAAAGAAGAAAAAUUAAGAAUACUCAAGCAGAACCUCCAACUUAGAUAGCACUUUCCACAAAAAGUAAUGGAGGGAUAGACUGAAGUUAAAUGGGAUCAGGUAUGUGAUGAGAUCUCAGAAGUGUUUGCACAAUAAUGCAGAUACUCAUUUUAAACAGAGUCAUAAGGAUUGGAACUAAUAAAAAUAAUAGAAUAAAAUACCGAUCAAGAAUGUGUCCUCCUGCGUAUCUGGGUUUUGAAUUCUGGCUCCACAGAACUUGUCAGAUAUAUGACAUUAAACAAGAUACUUC
rnacentral:lncRNA from 1 species